rnacentral:rRNA from 1 species
GACGAACGCUGGCGGCGUGCCUAAUACAUGCAAGUUGAGCGCUGAAGGUUGGUACUUGUACCAACUGGAUGAGCAGCGAACGGGUGAGUAACGCGUGGGGAAUCUGCCUUUGAGCGGGGGACAACAUUUGGAAACGAAUGCUAAUACCGCAUAAAAACUUUAAACACAAGUUUUAAGUUUGAAAGAUGCAAUUGCAUCACUCAAAGAUGAUCCCGCGUUGUAUUAGCUAGUUGGUGAGGUAAAGGCUCACCAAGGCGAUGAUACAUAGCCGACCUGAGAGGGUGAGCGGCCACAUUGGGACUGAGACACGGCCCAAACUCCUACGGGAGGCAGCAGUAGGGAAUCUUCGGCAAUGGACGAAAGUCUGACCGAGCAACGCCGCGUGAGUGAAGAAGGUUUUCGGAUCGUAAAACUCGGUUGGUAGAGAAGAACGUUGGUGAGAGUGGAAAGCUCAUCAAGUGACGGUAACUACCCAGAAAGGGACGGCUAACUACGUG